rnacentral:rRNA from 1 species
AAUAAAACAUUUUCUCACCUAGUAAAGGCGAUUGAAAAGUUAAUAAGAGCCCCAGCAUAAGUACCGCAAGGGAAAGGUGAAAUAAAAAUGAAAUAACCCUAAAGCACUACAAAGUAAAGAUUCAACCUUGUACCUUUUGCAUCAUGGUCUAACAAGUCUAAUCAAGCAAAACGAACUUUAAGUUUGCCUCCCCGAAACUAGACGAGCUACUUCAAAACAGCCCCUCGGGCCAACCCCUCCCUGUUGCAAAAGGGUGGGAAGAUUUUCAAGUAGAGGUGACAAACCAAUCGAGCCUAGAGAUAGCUGGUUACUCAGAAAAAGGAUCUCAGUCCAACUUUAAAUCUCCCCAUGACUCCAAACAAAAUAACAGGUUUAAAUUUUAAUCAAAUAAGGUACAGCCUAUUUGACACAGGAUACAGCCUACAAUACAGGGUAAUGCCUAACCAUGUGACCAAGUGGGCCUAAGAGCAGCCACCUUUUAAAACGCGUUACAGCCUAAUCACAUUCUCCCAUUAAUACCCACCCACCUUCAAAACCCUUCUUCCCCACUGAGUGACUCCAUACCAAUAUGGAAGACCCCAUGUUAGAACUAGUAACAAGAGCCUACAACUCUCCCACAACGUAAGUGUAAGCCGGACCGAACCACUCACCGGCACUUACCGCCAAUGAGCCCCUAGUAGCAACCCCCACAAGAAAAUCCUACUUCCCCUAACGUUAACCUUACACAAGAACUUUUCCGGAAAGAUUAAAAAGGGAGGAAGGAACUCGGCAAAUCUUAACCCCGCCUGUUUACCAAAAACAUCGCCUUCUGCCAACCCAUAGAAGGUCCAGCCUGCCCAGUGAAACUUAAACGGCCGCGGUACCCUGACCGUGCGAAGGUAGCAUAAUAACUUGUCCUUUAAAUGAGGACUAGCAUGAAUGGCAUCACGAGGGUUCUACUGUCUCCCCCCCUUAAUCAGUGAAACUAAUCUCCCCGUGAAAAAGCGGGGAUAACCCCAUAAGACGAGAAGACCCCAUGGAGCUUUAAACUAAGAAGCACCUGUAUUUUCUACACCCCUAGAAUCCGACAGCCCUGCUUUACCAGUUUUAGGUUGGGGAAACCGCGGAGCAAAACAAAACCUCCACGAUGAAAGGGCCCCCACCCCCCUAAUCAAAGGGCCACCACCCGCAGAAUCAACACAUUGACCAAAAUUGACCCAAUAUUAUUGAGCAACGGACCAAGUUACCCUGGGGAUAACAGCGCAAUCUGUUUCGAGAGCCCGCAUCAACAAACAGGUUUACGACCUCGAUGUUGGAUCAGGGUAUCCUAGUGGUGUAGCCGCUACUAAAGGUUCGUUUGUUCAACGAUUAAAACCCU